UACGGAGGGUGCGAGCGUUGUCCGGAAUCACUGGGCGUAAAGGGCGCGUAGGCGGCCCGUUAAGCGUGUGGUGAAAGCCCGGGGCUCAACUCCGGGUCGGCCAUGCGAACUGGCGGGCUCGAGCACUGUAGAGGCAGGUGGAAUUCCGGGUGUAGCGGUGGAAUGCGUAGAGAUCCGGAAGAACACCGGUGGCGAAGGCGGCCUGCUGGGCAGUAGCUGACGCUGAAGCGCGACAGCGUGGGGAGCAAACAGG
rnacentral:rRNA from 1 species